AACAUCGCGCACCUGCGGGAACCUGCGGAAGGAUCAUUAAUGAUUGGUGGCUGUUGCUGACUAGUGUUUCUAGUAUGUGCACGCCACACCUUCAAUCCCACUUACACCUGUGCACCUUCUGUAAUAGAUCUAUGUGGAUACGGAGAUAUGAAAGUUUGCGCUCUCGUACUCUGUUGGAGCAGUCUACUACGUUUUUUUACACACACACAAUAGUCAUUGAAUGUAUUUUUUAUUCUUAUG
rnacentral:misc_RNA from 1 species